GGUGGACUUGGAAAAACUUAAGUUUAGCUAAGCACAGAUAUAGCGUCUCCUUUACAC
rnacentral:tRNA from 1 species